AUAAGAUCCGUAGUCGAAAGGGAAACAGCCCAGACCACCAGUUAAGGUCCCCAAAUAUAUGUUAAGUGGAAAAGGAUGUGGGGUUGCUUAGACAACCAGGAUGUUGGCUUAGAAGCAGCCACCAUUGAAAGAGUGCGUAAUAGCUCACUGGUCGAGUGACCCCGCGCCGAAAAUGUACCGGGGCUAAACAUAUUACCGAAACUGUGGAUGAACCUCUUUAGAGGUUCGUGGUAGGAGAGCGUUCUAAGGGCGGUGAAGUCAGACCGGAAGGACUGGUGGAGCGCUUAGAAGUGAGAAUGCCGGUAUGAGUAGCGAAAGAAGGGUGAGAAUCCCUUCCACCGAAUAUCUAAGGUUUCCUGAGGAAGGCUCGUCCGCUCAGGGUUAGUCGGGACCUAAGCCGAGGCCGAUAGGCGUAGGCGAUGGACAACAGGUAGAGAUUCCUGUACCAGUGCUAAUUGUUUAACCGAUGGGGUGACACAGAAGGAUAGGGAAUCGCACGAAUGGAAAUGUGCGUCCAAGCAGUGAGUGUGAGAAGUAGGCAAAUCCGCUUCUCGCGAAGCAUGAGCUGUGAUGGGGAAGGAAAUUAAGUACGGAAGUUCCUGAUUUCACGCUGUCAAGAAAAGCCUCUAGGAAGAGUAGUACUGCCCGUACCGCAAACCGACACAGGUAGAUGAGGAGAGAAUCCUAAGGUGAGCGAGAGAACUCUCGUUAAGGAACUCGGCAAAAUGACCCCGUAACUUCGGGAGAAGGGGUGCUCUAUUAGGGUGCAAGCCCGAGAGAGCCGCAGUGAAUAGGCCCAGGCGACUGUUUAGCAAAAACACAGGUCUCUGCAAAACCGUAAGGUGACGUAUAGGGGCUGACGCCUGCCCGGUGCUGGAAGGUUAAGAGGAGUGCUUAGCUUCGGCGAAGGUACGAAUUGAAGCCCCAGUAAACGGCGGCCGUAACUAUAACGGUCCUAAGGUAGCGAAAUUCCUUGUCGGGUAAGUUCCGACCCGCACGAAAGGCGCAACGAUCUGGGCACUGUCUCAACGAGAGACUCGGUGAAAUUAUAGUACCUGUGAAGAUGCAGGUUACCCGCGACAGGACGGAAAGACCCCGUGGAGCUUUACUGCAACCUGAUAUGGAAUGUUUGUACCGCUUGUACAGGAUAGGUAGGAGCCGAAGAGACGUGUGCGCUAGCAUACGAGGAGGCAAUGGUGGGAUACUACCCUGGCUGUAUGACCAUUCUAACCCGCCACGCUUAGCGCGUGGGGAGACAGUGUCAGGUGGGCAGUUUGACUGGGGCGGUCGCCUCCUAAAGAGUAACGGAGGCGCCCAAAGGUUCCCUCAGAAUGGAUGGAAAUCAUUCGCAGAGUGUAAAGGCACAAGGGAGCUUGACUGCGAGACUGACAAGUCGAGCAGGGACGAAAGUCGGGCUUAGUGAUCCGGUGGUUCCGCAUGGAAGGGCCAUCGCUCAACGGAUAAAAGCUACCCCGGGGAUAACAGGCUUAUCUCCCCCAAGAGUCCACAUCGACGGGGAGGUUUGGCACCUCGAUGUCGGCUCGUCGCAUCCUGGGGCUGUAGUCGGUCCCAAGGGUUGGGCUGUUCGCCCAUUAAAGCGGCACGCGAGCUGGGUUCAGAACGUCGUGAGACAGUUCGGUCCCUAUCCGUCGCGGGCGCAGGAAAUUUGAGAGGAGCUGUCCUUAGUACGAGAGGACCGGGAUGGACACACCGCUGGUGUACCAGUUGUUCCGCCAGGAGCAUCGCUGGGUAGCUAUGUGUGGCAGGG
rnacentral:rRNA from 1 species